AACGAACGCUGGCGGCAUGCCUAACACAUGCAAGUCGAACGAGACCUUCGGGUCUAGUGGCGCACGGGUGCGUAACGCGUGGGAACCUGCCCUUAGGUUCGGAAUAACUCCCCGAAAGGGGUGCUAAUACCGGAUAAUGUCUUCGGACCAAAGAUUUAUCGCCUUUGGAUGGGCCCGCGUUGGAUUCGCUAGUUGGUAGGGUAAAAGCCUACCAAGGCGACGAUCCAUAGCUGGUCUGAGAGGAUGAUCAGCCACACUGGGACUGCGACACGGCCCAGACUCCUACGGGAGGCAGCAGUGGGGAAUAUUGGACAAUGGGCGAAAGCCUGAUCCAGCAAUGCCGCGGGAGUGAUGAAGGCCUUAGGGUUGUAAAGCUCUCUUACCCGGGAUGAUAAUGACAGUACCGGGAGAAUAAGCUCCGGCUAACUCCGUG
rnacentral:rRNA from 1 species